UGUCUUUUAGAAAUUUAAUUUAAAGUCUAGCCUGCCCACUGAAUUUUUUUUUAAAUGGCCGCAGUAUCCUAACUGUGCAAAGGUAGCAUAAUCAUUAGUCUUUUAAUUGAAGGCUGGAAUGAAUGGUUGGAUGAAAUAUUAACUGUUUCAUAAAAGAUUUAUAAUAGAAUUUUAUUUUUUAGUUAAAAAGCUAAAAUAUUCUUAAAAGACGAGAAGACCCUAUAAAUCUUUAUAUUAAGAAAAUUAGAAUUAUUUAGAUAAUUUUAAUUUUAUUUUUUUUUAAUAUUUUAUUGGGGUGAUAUUAAAAUUUAAUAAACUUUUAAUUUAUUCUAAACAUAAAUUAAUGAAUUAUUGAUCCAUAAAUUAUGAUUAAAAAAUUAAGUUACUUUAGGGAUAACAGCGUAAUUUUUUUAGAGAGUUCAUAUUGAUAAAAAAGAUUGCGACCUCGAUGUUGGAUUAAGAUAUAAUUUUAGGUGUAGCAGCUUAAACUUAAAGUCUGUUCGACUUUUAAAUUCUUACAUGAUCUGAGU
rnacentral:rRNA from 1 species